rnacentral:rRNA from 1 species
CCUACGGGUGGCAGCAGUGAGGAAUAUUGGUCAAUGGGCGAGAGCCUGAACCAGCCAAGUCGCGUGAAGGAUGAAGGAUCUAUGGUUUGUAAACUUCUUUUAUAUGGGAAUAAAGUGAGGAACGUGUUCCUUUUUGUAUGUACCAUAUGAAUAAGCAUCGGCUAACUCCGUGCCAGCAGCCGCGGUAAUACGGAGGAUGCGAGUGUUAUCCGGAUUUAUUGGGUUUAAAGGGUGCGUAGGUGGAUAAUUAAGUCAGCGGUGAAAGUUUGUGGCUCAACCAUAAAAUUGCCGUUGAAACUGGUUGACUUGAGUAUAUUUGAGGUAGGCGGUAUGCGUGGUGUAGCGGUGAAAUGCAUAGAUAUCACGCAGAACUCCGAUUGCGAAGGCAGCUUACUAAACUAUAACUGACACUGAAGCACGAAAGCGUGGGUAUCAAACAGGAUUAGAUACCCCUGUAGUC